UACAGAGGGUGCGAGCGUUGUUCGGAAUUACUGGGCGUAAAGGGCGCGUAGGCGGUGCAUCAAGUCAGGCGUGAAAGCCCCGGGCUCAACCUGGGAACGGCGCUUGAGACUGGUGCGCUCGAGUUCGGGGGAGGAUGGUGGAAUUCCCAGUGUAGAGGUGAAAUGCGCAGAUAUCAGGAAGAACACCCGUGGCGGAAGGCGGCUCUCUGGGACGGUACUGACGCUGAGACGCGAAAGCGUGGGGAGCGAACAGG
rnacentral:rRNA from 1 species